GACACGAAAAGGUUCAUGGAGAAGAUAAUGAAGACGAUAAAGAACACAAAUGCGUAUGUGAAAUUGAAGUUAGGUUAAAAUACAGAUAAGGUAAAAAGUUCAUACAUUUCCUUUCUUUCUCAUAUGGGUUUGCUACAUUGCUACCGGCACCAGAAUCGGAAUAAAUUAAAGUGAUCAGUAUCUAACAGGUAACGAGCAAUGAGUUGAGUAGAAGCUAAUGCUUGGAGUCUAGUGUAGUCUCCCUAGUGGGUCAUGCUCUGAUAGAUGUAACAUCGGGAGGGAACAUUUUAAUAUUGUUGUUGAUGAUUGUU